GACGAACGCUGGCGGCGUGCCUAAUACAUGCAAGUUGAGCGCUGAAGGUUGGUACUUGUACCAACUGGAUGAGCAGCGAACGGGUGAGUAACGCGUGGGGAAUCUGCCUUUGAGCGGGGGACAACAUUUGGAAACGAAUGCCAAUACCGCAUAAAAACUUUAAACACAAGUUUUAAGUUUGAAAGAUGCAAUUGCAUCACUCAAAGAUGAUCCCGCGUUGUAUUAGCUAGUUGGUGAGGUAAAGGCUCACCAAGGCGAUGAUACAUAGCCGACCUGAGAGGGUGAUCGGCCACAUUGGGACUGAGACACGGCCCAAACUCCUAGGGGAGGCAGCAGUAGGGAAUCUUCGGCAAUGGACGAAAGUCUGACCGAGCAACGCCGCGUGAGUGAAGAAGGUUGUCGGGUCGUAAAACUCGGUUGGUAGGGAAGAACGUUGGUGAGAGUGGAAAGCUCAUCAAGUGACGGUAACUACCCAGAAAGGGACGGCUAACUACGUG
rnacentral:rRNA from 1 species